rnacentral:sRNA from 1 species
CUUUAGCCCCGAUUGCAGUGGAAAUCCUUGUGUGCCGGGGUUCGGCACACAAGAUUGCAACGAAUAGCGGGAACAAUG